AGUAGGAUUGGGCUAAAAAAUCCUUAGGAUAGGAUAGAUUGAUACCCAAAGGUCGACCAUUUGUGAGACAGGGUCAAAAUCAGACCUUUAGACACUAAAACGACGGCCUAGGGCAAAAUAGGGUUUCAUUCGAAGAUCAGAGUUUAGGACUUGAGAGCUGGCUUGAAUUUCAUUCCAAAGAGAUAAGAAUUAUUAUGAGAGGGUUUUGGAAGACUUAGCAAUUGUUGUUCAAAGUCAGGGUUUAUAUCACUAAUUUGGGUUUUAUAUAAUAUAAUUAGGGCUAGCAAUUUUGGCUAGUUUGUGCAAUUGGCAUAACAUCUAUGGUUGAAAAUUUGAUAUUAUUUGGAUUAUUAGGUGUGCUAAGUGUAUACAAAUUUUUUUCAUAGUCUAACAGCGUGGUUUAGAGAUAUCUAGAUUUUAGCACAAGAGGGUUUC
rnacentral:lncRNA from 1 species